GAAAUUACCAGGCAGGGGAGACACCUGAAUCACAAAGGAGGUUUUCUCAGGACGAGGCUCAUCCAUGCACUCGGGGUGUGCUGACCCCUGCAGUUUCCCCAAAUAUGGGAAACUGGGCUGCAUAAUUUGUGGUAAUGACGAGUAUCAGAAAUUGAGCACUGGGUGUUCAUUC